GGCUUGAGCCCAGGAGUUGGAGGUUGCAGUGAGCUGAGAUCACGCCACUGCACUCCAGCCUAGCGACAGAGCAAGACUCCAUCUAAAAAAAAAAAAAAAAAAAAAAGAAGCACCUUCUCUUCAGGCUGGAGAAGCAGCGUAGCUAACACAAGUCCAGUCCUUGUGAUGUGGUUGGUAAUUGGGGAUGGCCAGGCUGAAGCAGAGAGUCCUAGAGAAAUCUCGAUACAAGCUUCAAAGCAACACCUAGACACUGCUCUAGCAGUUGAUCCUGGAGAUAAACCAACAAGAGAGAGAUGGAAGAGAAAUACUAAAUGAGGUCAAAGA
rnacentral:sRNA from 1 species